rnacentral:ncRNA from 2 species
AAUAAUAUUAAAGCGCCAGAACUUAAGUUGAGUAAAUGAGGGAAUAAAGGAAACUCAAACUAGACGUUUGAGUAAGUUCGACUAACUAAAUCAUAGAUUUAAGAAGUUAAGGAAACUCAAACUAAAUGUUUGAGUAAGUUCGCCUUAACCAAAUCGUAGAUUUGGAGGCUCACUUAAGUUGACGAGGAUGGGGAGUAUCGAGAAUUCGGCGGAUGUCCCACGGUAUUUAUGUACUACCGAUAACAGUUAGCAAAUCUAAAAAGCGAUUUUUAGCACAAAUCUAACUAGGUACAUGAU